rnacentral:rRNA from 1 species
GUGAGUAGUUCAGAGUUUGAUCCUGGCUCAGGAUGAACGCUAGCGGCAGGCCUAAUACAUGCAAGUCGAACGGUAAAUGGCCCUUCGGGGCUAUGAGAGUGGCGCACGGGUGCGUAACGCGUAUGCAACCUACCCAAUGCUGGCGGAUAGCCCGGAGAAAUUCGGAUUAAGCCGUCAUGAGGAGCUUUGGAGGCAUCUUCGAGGUUUCAAAUAUUCAUAGGCGUUGGAUGGGCAUGCGUGCUAUUAGAUAGUUGGCGGGGUAACGGCCCACCAAGUCGACGAUAGCUAGGGGAUCUGAGAGGACGGUCCCCCACACUGGUACUGAGACACGGACCAG